rnacentral:lncRNA from 1 species
GGCGAUUCAACUGAAUCCGCUGCCGCCGCCGCCUUUCUCCUAUUAUUCACAAGCCAACUGGCAAAGCUGUAUGUGCUACAGUUUUAAAGGAGUCGAGCUCUUCCAUGAGCUUCCAGAAGCUAGGCCGCCGACAUGCAAGCCGACACAUACACAUGCACUAGUUACAUGGCCCAUUCUGGCCCACUCACACGGGAAUUAACAUUACGCACGCGCUUGCUCCUUCCCGCCAUUCCUUCCGUCUCUUGCCGAACAACUCCAUCUUCUUCAGGUUCACCAGACAAUGUCAGCUCCGGGUCCUUAACAAUUGCCUCCCCUUCAAAUUUGGCUUGCCCCCAAGCCAAGGCUCGUGGAAAACGAGCACGAAGAUCCAAGAAAUCUUCCCACGUAGCAUCCUCAGGCGAUUCCUGCGACCACUGCACCAGAACUUGAGAGACAGCUGAACUACAGGACUUACGAAUCCGAGCAUCCAGAAUGGCCAUCGGAACUUUAGUAGUCUCCAAAGAAGUCGGUAAAACGGCAGGAACAAUCUUGUCAACUCCACGGGCCGACUUCAACUGAGAAACAUGAAAAACUGGGUGAAUGGAACUAUGAUCAGGAAGGUCCAGCCGAUAAGCCACCUUGCCAAUUCGUUGCAGCACAGUAAAAGGACCAAAAUACUUGAAGGACAAUUUAUGAUUAGCUCGAGGGGCGACAGAUGAUUGCACAUAGGGUUGUAGUUUUAAGAAAACCCGAUCUCCUUCUUGAAACUCCCUGAAUGAACGAGAUUUGUCAGCGUGAUAUUUCAUCAAUUGUUGAGCCCGAUUCAGAUGCUGUUGCAGGAGCUGAGCCAUGAACUUGCGUUCCCAUAACCAAUCAUGAAGGUCAGGCAUCACACAAGAAUCCACUGAUAGUCCCAACUGAGUAGGGUGAUGGCCAUACAGAACUUCAAAAGGAGUUUUAUCCAAAGUUGAAUGAUAGCUAGUGUUAUACCAAUAUUCUGCUAAAUAUAACCAGGAAGACCACAUGGAUGGACAAGCAUGGAUGAAACAACGCAGAUAAGUCUCCAAACACUGAUUUACCCUCUCCGUUUGUCCAUCCGUCUGGGGAUGAUAUGCUGUGCUCAUAUUGAGACUAGUACCAGCCUUAAGAAACAGCUGCUGCCAAAGCUGACUGGUAAAUAUCCUAUCACGGUCAAAAACUAGAGCCAAAGGAAUGCCAUGAAGCUUAAAGACAUUUUCCAUAUACACUUGGGCCACAUCAGAAGCUGAAAAUGGAUGAGACAAAGGAACAAAAUGGGCAUACUUGAAAAUUUAUCCACCACUACCAAAAUGCAGUUAUAACACCUGGAUUUGGGUAAUCCUUCAAUAAAAUCCAGAGAAACUGUCUGCCAAGCACCAUGAGGUAUGGGAAGGGGUUGAAGUAACCUAGGAUACUUGUGUCUAUCCGGUUUAGCUUGCUGGCAAAUAUCACAUUCAUCAACCAAUGUUUUAACCAUUUUUUUUCAUGCCAGGCCAUGCAAACAGACCCUUCACCCUUCUGUAAGUCACAGGAAAGCCACAAUGCCCCCCAAUUGGGCUGUCAUGUAAGGCAUGGACAAUUUUAGUCUGCAAUUCACUAUUAUUACCCACCCAAAUGCGGUUCUUAUAUUUUAAAAUUCCAUUGUGCAGAGAAAAAUUUGGAAUGGCUGCAGCAUUUACUGCCAAGGCUGUCAGGAACUUAGUAGCUUGUGAAUCCUCAUUAUACCCUUUGACAACAUUAGUCAACCAUGUUGGAGUGCAAACAGACAGAGAAUUAACCUCCACUGAAGGACCAUGACAGCAUCUGGAUAAGGAAUCAGCUGCCAAAUUUGUAGUGCCCUUCUUAUAACAAAUUUUAAAUUGCAAACCCAACAAUUUUGUGUAUGCCUUGUGUUGCCAAGGAGUAUGUAACCGCUGAGAUGUAAAAUGCAUCAAACUUUUAUGAUCAGUUAAUAUCAAAAACUCAGCAUGCUAUAAAUAAGAUCGCCAAUGGCCAACUGCAAGCAGAAUAGCUAAACACUCUUUUUCAUAAGUAGAAAGCCCUUUUGUCCUGGGUCCAAGAGACCGACUGAUGAAGGCAAUAGGAUGGUUAUCCUGAAGUAACACUACUCCUAUUCCUAUCUCACUAGCAUCAGUUUCAAUAGAAAAUUGCUUAGAAAAAUCAGGAAGAGCCAAUAUUGGUGUUGUCACCAAAGCAUUUUUUAAACUGGAAAAUGCUUGAGUAGCCCUGUCAUCCCAAUGAAAACCUUUACUUUUUCGCAACAGAUUGGUCAAUGGUUUACUAAUGACACCAAAAUUCUUGACAAACUUCCUGUAAUAGCCAGCCAACCCCAAGAAGCCCCUCAAUUGUUUCAGAUUUUUCGGCACAGGCCAAUCAACAACUGCCUUGACUUUCUCUGAAUCAAUGGAAACUCCAUGAACUCCAAUGAUAUACCCCAAAUAAGAUAGCUGUUGUUGGCCAAACGAACACUUAGAAAGCUUAACCUUCCAUUGGUGCUCAUGUAAUAACUGCAAAACAUGCCUCAGAUGAACAACAUGGCUAGCUAAAUUAGCACUUUAAAUAAGGAUAUCAUCAAAAAACACUAAGGCAUAUUUUCUGAGAACAGGUGACAAAGUAUCAUUCAUAGCCUCUUGAAAAGUUGCUGGAGCUCCUGUCAAACCAAAUGACAUCACCUUGUACUCAAACUGACCAAAAUGUGUUUGAAAUGCUGUUUUAGGUUCCUCCCCCUUAACCAGUCUAAUCUGAUGAUACCCUGCCCUCAAAUCCAAUUUAGAAAAAUAUUUAGCACCCGCAAGUUCGUCAAGCAAUUCAUCUAUGACUGGUAAAGGAUAUUUUCUCUUGAUAGUAAUGUCAUUUAACUGUCGGUAAUCAAUGCAUAACCUCCAAGACCCAUCUUUCUUUUUAACCAACAAGGCAGGAGAAGAGAAGGGGCUAGUGCUAUGCUGAAUUAUUCCAGAGGAUAACAUUUCUGCCACUUGUCGUUCGAUUUCAUCUUUCUAGGCAGGAUUGUACCUAUAUGGCCGAAUGCUCACUGGCUUAGAACCCGGAAGUAAAGGAAUCUGGUGAUCACAUAACCUCCUAGGUGGCAAUUCUUUUGGCUCCUCAAACACACUCUGAAAUUCAGAUAACACCACUGAAAUUGAUUCCGAAACUGGUGUACUCUCCUGAACCGAUACAGCCGACAAUUGCACCAUAUGCAUCAAUGCUCCCAUUUUGUUAAGUCCUUUCAACUGCAAAUAUGAAAUUUGAUCACAUUUGUCAGUUCUAGCUUGAAUGCCACGAAUAUUAAUGACCCCUUCAUGCCAAAGAAAUUGCAUCCACUGUUCUUCCCAGUUAACUGUCAUUUGUCCCAUCUGAUGUAACCAAUCCAUUCCAAGUAUUGCAUCAUAACCAGACAAUGGUAAAACCUUGAAGUCAUUCUGAAACUGAUGACCCUGCAACCACCAUUCACACUGUGGCAAAUAGUGAGUGCAAUUCAUUUCACCUCCAUCAGCCACCUUAACCAUAACUGCAGCUGGCAACAAUGUUAACCCCUUGAGUUGAUCUGCCAAUUGCUUAUCCAAGAAAGAGUGUGUACUUCCAGAAUCCACUAGCAUCAACAACUCAAUUCCUUGAAGCCAGCCCUUAACCCUGAAGGACUGAGCAGACACUGUACCAUUGCAAGCAUUAAGAGACAGAUGCAUUAAACAAUCAGUCUGCUCUUCCAGGAUAACAUUCUUAGGUGAUUCAGUUUCCUCCUGCACAAUCUGCAUCAACUCUUCCACUACAUGUAACUGAACAGUGGAAGCACACUUGUGGUCACGGCCCCAACGUUCACCACAAGUGAAGCAUAAACCCUUAGCUCGCCUAUAAGCUUUUAAUGCAGUGAUCUUGUCAUCUCUAGACUGAGUUCUAACAGGAUCAACAGUUUUCUUAUCAUCCAUGGAAGAAGUAGAUCCUCUAAAAUUCUGGGAAUGAAAUCCAGAUUUCACUGCCCUAGGGACCAAAGCUGACUCAGCUCUUCUGAAUGAAGUAGGUUUAGUUCCUUCAACUGCUUCUUCCUGCAAUAAAGCCAGUGAACAAGCAGUGUCCAAAUCCUGAGGUUUCUGUACCAUAACCACAACCCGUAUGUCCUGCUUCAAACCUUCAAUAAACCUAGUCACAAAGUAACUAGGAGGUGCAGCUUCAUCAUAGGCCAACAAUUGAUGCAUCACACUAUCAUAAAUUUCCACAUAUUCUGAAACAGUGCCAGUCUGAAUCAGAUGAAUCCAUUGUCUAAUAAGAUUUUGGUGUCUAUCCUUAGUAAACUUACAGCACACCCUUGCACAUAAUUCCUCCCAAGUCACACUAGACAACUGAGAACGAACCGACUGUAACCAAAAAGCAGCUAAUCCAACGAAUUGCAGCGUAGCCACCUUAACCCAAUUAGCCGGAUGCACACCAUACACAUCAAAAAAUGACUCACAAUUACUACGCCACAUAUGAGGAUUAUCUCCAUCAAACUCUCCAUCAAACUGAGGGCAAGACAUAGGUGGAACCGAAGAAUUCAUGGGAGAUGCAAAUAGCUGACCGUGAUGAAAGCACGAGGUACUGACCGCACCAGAAGACGGUGAAACGAAAGGAGGAGAAUCAUACGUACUUUGAUUCGUUCCAGAUGGCUGAUGCGGAUUUGGAGAAUGUUGGAGCAGAUUUGCAUCCAAGCUGUCCUGUAUAUCGGCUACCUUCUUGGUUAGAUCCUCGACCGAAGCGCCCAGUUCAUCGACCUUCUUCUGCACCAAUGGAACCCGCGUCUCCAACGCCUUCUUCAGAGCUUGAAAAUCCGCACGACUCCACUGUUCCAUGGCCUCCCGCUUGUGCUCGGACUCAUCCAUCUUCUUCAACAGCAAAUCAAGCUUGUCACCUUGCUCCAUGAUCGACUUCGCCUGCUUGGUGAAGUACCUUGGCUUCUCCAGGAUGGAACGCUCAAUGCUCGCUCUCCAAAUCAGUCGAACCCGAGCAAGGGAGCAAAAGCUUUUGCGGAAUCGAUCAGAACAAUCAACUCCCACCUUGCUCUAGGAAUUUUUACCGGCCAACCGAGAGAAUACGCGGGAUGUUGCGCUCUGAUACCAACUUGUUAGAACCCUAACGAUCAAUCGAACACGACACGAUUUCCACCGCACCUCUCGUCGGCGAUUCAACUGAACCCGCCGCCGCCGCCGCCGCCGCCUUUCUCCUAUUAUCCACAAGCCAACUGGCAAAGUUGUAUGUGCUACAGUUUUAAAGGAGUUGAGCUCUUCCACGAGCUUCCAGAAGCUGGGCCGCCGACAUGCAAGCCGACACAUACACAUGCACUAGUUACAUGGCCCAUUCUGGCCCACUCACACGGGAAUUAACAUUACGCACACGCUUGCUCCUUCCCGCCAUUCCUUGCGUCUCUUGCCGAACAGCUCCAUCUUCUUCAGGUUCACCAGACAAUGUCAGCUCCGGG